UACGAGGGGGGCGAGCGUUGUUCGGAAUUAUUGGGCGUAAAGGGUGCGUAGGCGGUUCCGCAAGUCCUGUGUGAAAUCUUCGGGCUCAACUCGAAGUCUGCACGGGAAACUGCGGGGCUUGAGUGUGGGAGAGGUGAGUGGAAUUCCCGGUGUAGCGGUGGAAUGCGCAGAUAUCAGGAGGAACACCGGUGGCGAAGGCGGGUCUCUGGGCAGUAACUGACGCUGAGGAGCGAAAGCGUGGGGAGCGAACAGG
rnacentral:rRNA from 1 species